rnacentral:rRNA from 1 species
AUUGAACGCUGGCGGCAUGCCUUACACAUGCCAGUCGAACGGCAGCAUGAUCUAGCUUGCUCGAUUGAUGGCGAGUGGCGAACGGGUGAGUAAUACAUCGGAACGUGCCGUGUAGUGGGGGAUAACUAGUCGAAAGAUUAGCUAAUACCGCAUACGACCUGAGGGUGAAAGUGGGGGACCGCAAGGCCUCAUGCUAUAGGAGCGGCCGAUGUCUGAUUAGCUAGUUGGUGAGGUAAAGGCUCACCAAGGCGACGAUCAGUAGCUGGUCUGAGAGGACGAUCAGCCACACUGGGACUGAGACACGGCCCAGACUCCUACGGGAGGCAGCAGUGGGGAAUUUUGGACAAUGGGCGAAAGCCUGAUCCAGCAAUGCCGCGUGUGUGAAGAAGGCCUUCGGGUUGUAAAGCACUUUUGUCCGGAAAGAAAUGGCUCUGGUUAAUACCUGGGGUCGAUGACGGUACCGGAAGAAUAAGGACCGGCUAACUACGUG